GUGGGGAAUCUUGCGCAAUGGGCGAAAGCCUGACGCAGCCAUGCCGCGUGAAUGAUGAAGGUCUUAGGAUUGUAAAAUUCUUUCACCGGGGACGAUAAUGACGGUACCCGGAGAAGAAGCCCCGGCUAACUUCGUGCCAGCAGCCGCGGUAAUACGAAGGGGACUAGCGUUGCUCGGAAUUACUGGGCGUAAAGGGCGCGUAGGCGGAUCGUUAAGUCAGGGGUGAAAUCCCAGAGCUCAACUCUGGAACUGCCCUUGAUACUGGCGAUCUUGAGUGUGAGAGAGGUAUGUGGAACUCCGAGUGUAGAGGUGAAAUUCGUAGAUAUUCGGAAGAACACCAGUGGCGAAGGCGACAUACUGGCUCAUUACUGACGCUGAGGCGCGAAAGCGUGGGGAGCAAACAGGAUUAGAAACCCCAGUAGUCC
rnacentral:rRNA from 1 species